GGGGUGGAGGUGGGCAUGGCACUGGAGGUGGCGGAGGAGGGCAUGGUGUUUCAGUUGGCGGUGGCUUCACAACAGGAGGCUUUGGUGGUAGAGUUGGCGGUGCUGGUGUUACCGGCGGCGUAGGAUAAUACGGUGGUGUAGGGGUAACAGGAGGCUUUGGUGGUAGAGUCGGAGGCUUGAUCACCGGUGGUUUUGGUGUCGGUGUUACCGGAGGGGUAGGAUAAGGCGGCGGAGUUGGGGUAACAGGAGGCUUUGGUGGUAAAGUUGGUGGGGAAAUGAUUGGUGGUUUGGGUACAUAAGGUGGUGGCUUUACAGUAGGAGGCUUUGGUGGUAAAGUUGGUGGGGAAAUGAUUGGUGGUUUGGGUACAUAAGGUGGUGGCUUUACAGUAGGAGGUUUUGGUAUAUGGGGUGGAUAUACAAUUGGAGGCUUGACAACCGGUGGUUUGGGUACGGUUGGUGGUUUGACAACGGGUGGUUUGGGUACAUAAGGUGGCGGCUUUACAGUAGGAGGUUUUGGUACAUGGGGUGGAUAUACAAUUGGAGGCUUGACAACCGGUGGUUUUGGUACGGUUGGUGGUUUGACAACGGGUGGUUUGGGAACCACCGGAGGUUUGGGUGGCUUAGGUGGGUAGUGUUUGGGAGGUUUAUGGUGAGAGGGUGGCUUUACCUUAGGAGGGUGUUUGGGUGGGAACUUAGGAGGAUGCUUCGGUGAAGGUGGAGUUGG
rnacentral:lncRNA from 1 species